AACGAACGCUGGCGGCAUGCCUAACACAUGCAAGUCGAACGAACCCUUCGGGGUUAGUGGCGCACGGGUGCGUAACGCGUGGGAAUCUGCCCUUUGCUUCGGAAUAACAGUUAGAAAUGACUGCUAAUACCGGAUGAUGUCUUCGGACCAAAGACUUAUCGGCAAGGGAUGAGCCCGCGUAGGAUUAGGUAGUUGGUGGGGUAAAGGCCUACCAAGCCGACGAUCCUUAGCUGGUCUGAGAGGAUGAUCAGCCACACUGGGACUGAGACACGGCCCCGACUCCUACGGGAGGCAGCAGGGGGGAAUAUUGGACAAUGGGCGCAAGCCUGAUCCAGCAAUGCCGCGUGAGUGAUGAAGGCCUUCGGGUCGUAAAGCUCUUUUACCAGGGAUGAUAAUGACAGUACCUGGAGAAUAAGCUCCGGCUAACUCCGUGCCAGCAGCCGCGGUAA
rnacentral:rRNA from 1 species